AUCGAACGCUGGCGGCAUGCCUAACACAUGCAAGUCGAACGAGUGGCGGACGGGUGAGUAAUGUCUGGGCAACUGCCCGAUGGAGGGGGAUAACUACUGGAACCGGUAGCUAAUACCGCAUACCAUCGGAUGUGCCCAGAUGGGAUUAGCUAGUAGGUGGGGUAUCGGCUCACCUAGGCGACGAUCCCUAGCUGGUCUGAGAGGAUGACCGGCCACACUGGAACUGAGACACGGUCCAGACUCCUACGGGAGGCAGCAGUGGGGAAUAUUGCACAAUGGACGCAAGCCUGAUGCAGCAAUGCCGCGUGUAUGAAGAAGGCCUUCGGGUUGUAAAGUACUUUCAUCGGGGAGGCGUUACUCGCAGAAAAAGCACCGGCUAACUCCGUGCCAGCAGCCGCGGUAAUUC
rnacentral:rRNA from 1 species